CGUGUCUCCGGAGAUACGUAUCUGGGAUCUCUGAGGGUGUCGGGAUGCCCUGGUUGUGCUUUAUAACACAAGGACUGUAUCUGCAACGCCAGCACAGUGUGAAGGAGCUACUGCCGCUGAGGCUUUUACGCAGACAGAAAGCAUUCCUGUCUUUAACAGUAUCCGGCGAAAUUCGUUCCAUGAGAGCAGCGGACAUGGAGGCGAACAGACAUGAAGCUGCUGCACCUCCCGUCAGAAGCUACUGCAAGUCACUCGCUUUGCUUGCUUAAGCCUGGUGACAGAGGUGUGUUUCAAGAAGGUGGUAUGAGCAUCAGAGCAUAUGCAGAAGCGAUUAGUCAAGACGACGUGGCAAGCAGGCUUGAUCCAGAUGGCUCGGAGGCAAUCGUGAAAUAGAGUCGUGAGAAUGAAUAGGCAAAAUCAUAUGCUGGCUAUGCGAACAGUCCCUUGCUGUAGCAACUACUAAGAGAAGACCUUAUGACUUCAGACCAUCAAGGAUGGAAAUGGAAUCAGGUUGAGUCUGACUUGCAGCGACCACUCGCGUGAUCUCCAAGGCAAGAAAGGAACGGAACUGGUUUGCCAGUGCCUUCUACCAUGCAUGUCCGGGGUACGGAAACACGGGGAGAAUCAUGCAAAUCCCAUGGCCACCAAGCAGCUCGGGAGCAAUGAGACACUCAGCGGGGCCAAAGCACCACAGAAAAAGAA